CCCAGGCCGAUGGGCGAGCGAGGCCAACGAGUUUCCAGCGGCGGGGGCUGGGACGGCGCCAGCGGGUGGUGGAGAGCGCGGCCCUGGGACCCCGGAGCCCCUUUACCCAGCAAACCAGGGCAAGAGGGGGGUGGACCCCCAGUAAUGCCGGGGUCUCCCCGAACUGGGCGGAAGCUGGGGGUUUGCUCCUGGUUCUGCGAGAGGGAGAAAUAAUUUUGUCGGGGCACGCGUGCUGCGAGGGCAGGCGCAUGCCCUGCCUCUGGGGGGACGAAGCCACGCAGUGAGCAGCCUUGUGAAGACAUCCACAUGGUGAGGAACUAAAGCCUUCAGCCUACAGUCAUGGAGUGAACUUGGAAGGUGACCUUCGGCCCCAGAUGAGUCUUCUGAGACUACAGCUCAGCUGACAUGAGAGACCCUGAGCCAUAACUACCCAGC
ensembl:lncRNA